rnacentral:rRNA from 1 species
CCUACGGGUUGCAGCAGUGGGGAAUAUUGGACAAUGGGCGAAAGCCUGAUCCAGCAAUGCCGCGUGUGUGAAGAAGGUCUUCGGAAUGUAAAGCACUUUCGACGGGGACGAUGAUGACGGUACCCGUAGGAGAAGCCCCGGCUAACUUCGUGCCAGCAGCCGCGGUAACACGAAGGGGGCUAGCGUUGCUCGGAAUGACUGGGCGUAAAGGGCGCGUAGGCGGUUUAUGCAGUCAGAUGUGUAAUUCCCGGGCUUAACCUGGGAACUGCAUUUGAGACGCAUAGACUAGAGGUCGAGAGAGGGUUGCGGAAUUCCCAGUGUAGAGGUGAAAUUCGUAGAUAUUGGGAACAACACCGGUGGCGAAGGCGGCAACCUGGCUCGAUACUGACGCUGAGGCGCGAAAGCGUGGGGAGCAAACAGGAUUAGAUACCCCUGUAGUC